AUUAGCUAAGAUUAUGCCAAGGCUUUUCUCAGCAUUAACUGACGUUGGAGCCAACUGCCAUGAGUUCAAGCAUCUGCAUCAAUAAUAGUAUAGGCUUUGAGGGGCAAAGUUCCCGUUACUGAAACCCUCAAGUCUAUCAGACGACUUGGUUGAGUCUUUAAUUAUCGUGAACACCUAAGUAGUUGGUUUAGCUCAAGAAUGAUACUAUCUUCAAAAUUUCACUUAACUUCACACGGCGUGUUCCUUCUACAAGUUCAUUCAGCUUCAUCGGAAGUAGAGUCAAGCCAAGGACUUGAUAUAAAGGUAGAGGCCCGCUGUAGAUGUUGAACAUGAACAGAUUACUGGGGAUUGUCGGACGCUGCUGAUACAUUAAUCACACAUUGCUUGUUGCUAAAAUACAAAACAACUGUAUAAAGUUUCUUUCUGAGAGGUGUUUGGUGAAUUGAAAGUGUGAAGACUUGGAGUUACUUUGGGAUUUUUCGUCAUUUUAGGCUCGAUGAUUAAAAAUCAUAAUAUGUGAGUUUUGGUAUGUCUGCGUUAUCAGUAACUGUAGACAGAAAAUGUUGUGAUGGGGAAGAUGUAUGGGCAGAAACCCCUAAUUAUUUAAGUGGAAAAAAAUACCCAACAGUAGUUGUUGAAUUCCUGUAAUGCUUCCAAUCUUCCGCUACAA